rnacentral:rRNA from 1 species
GACGAACCGUGCGAACGUUGUUCGGAAUCACUGGGCUUAAAGCGCGUGUAGGCGGGUUGGCACGUCGGUUGUUGAAAUCCCCCGGCUUAACCGGGGAACGGGCGCCGAUACGGCCGCCCUGGAGGGCCGUAGGGGGACCUGGAACUUCCGGUGGAGCGGUGAAAUGCGUUGAGAUCGGAAGGAACGCCCGUGGCGAAAGCGGGGUCCUGGACGUUUUCUGACGCUGAGACGCGAAAGCCAGGGGAGCGAACGGG